UACAGAGGUGCUCAGCGUUGUUUCGGAUUCAUUGGGGCGUAAAAGGGGUGCGUAGGCGGCGCGGGUAAGUCACUUGUGAAAUCUCUGAGCUUAACUCAGAACGGCCAAGUGAUACUGCAGUGCUAGAGUGUAGAAGGGGCAAUCGGAAUUCUUGGUGUAGCGGUGAAAUGCGUAGAUAUCAAGAGGAACACCUGAGGUGAAGACGGGUUGCUGGUCUAACACUGACGUGAUGCGCGAAAGCCAGGGGAGCAAACGGG
rnacentral:rRNA from 1 species